UUUUGACGCAUCUUUUCUAGCUUCCGUUGAGUCUCCCUCCACCGCUUACUCGACUGUCCUUUUCAGUCUUAUUUUGAAUUUUCAUUUCCCUUCUAUUAUCCUGUUCGAGUGGCCCCCUCUUUUGUCCUGUUCGCUUCAGUCCCACCAUUUUUUUCUCUUGGUCCUGCGAGGAGGCGGAUCCAUGGCGGAGAAAGCUCGGCGCAACCAGCACGGCCGGUGUUGGAGGGGUCGGUGGCUGCAGCGACAGCGUGUAGUGCUCGGCCUGCGUCAGGGGGCGGGCGGUGCUGCUCGGUACUUGGAGUGCUGCGUCGCCGCAGCCGGCGGUAGGUGCGAUGGAGAGAUGUGCUCCUCGUGUUCUUCUCCGUCCACCGGGGAAGAGGUCAGCGAUUCGCGAGCGCAGAAGACCUAGUUCCCGUGUUUCCCAUGUCCUCUGCCUUUUUGUUCUCUAAUUUGGGGUACCUGGUUGUCCUCGAGGUCACGCGAGAUUUGACCUUAGUGUAAUUUGGAGUCGUAUGAGUUGUGAGAGCUGCAGCAGUUGUUGUUGAUUCGUGUUGUUGUGCUCGAUUUUGUUGGACGUUUUAGGUAGUGUUUGGUCUGAAUCUGUUCAUCUAGGUUGGAUCUCGUUGAUUUAUAGUUGGACAUAGCUAGAAGAAACGAAGAAUCUUCGAGGUAGAAGACGAGGUAUAGCUAGCGCUCAGAUUUGGUGAUGCAUGGAUGCAUCCAGCAACGCCAUCUCCAGGAAUCACUCCACUGAUUGAAUGUGCACUGUCAUCUCCAGCACAUAUUCAGAGAGAUGGAAGAAAUGGUUCGUUCAGAAAAGUUGCUGCUAGAUCGAUCUAUCGUCUCUCCCGCAAACAGCCAUUGGGGACCAAGUAGCAUCUAGCUGCAGCACCGUUGACAGCAGCAAUUGUUGGGAAUUCAAUCACCAAAGUAGCUUUUCAGUGGAAGCUAAAGCACAACUUUUCUGAAUUGUUCCCCAUAGUUGUGUUUCAAUGCAUGAUACUGCAGAGUACGGUGUGUUCUAGCCUUGUUACUACAAUUCGAUCAUUCUGUUCUAGCCUCGUUACUACUAGACGAUGAGCUAAUAUGUGUUUGGGUGUUGGUGGCGAUGUUUAGUUUGACCUGAAUGUGUUCAUCUGACGUCAGUGCAAAUAGGUGUUCUGUGGUUAUGUAAGGUUUCCCUAAAUCUGCUCUUUUUUAUGUUGAUCUGUUGCGAUCGUCGGUGCAAAUAUUUUUUGAGCGUCGACGCGUUGUGUCCAUGCUUACUGCACUUUAUUGUUGCUCUUAUGAUCUUGUUAUUCAUUUUCUUGCUAGUUGUUCGAUAAACGGACACAACAACAAUGGAAAAUCCAGCAGCAAAAGAGUGCAUGCUUAGGUAUUGUUGCGCAUCCUCUCUUGAUUUAAAUUGCAUUCCUAUCUCAGGCUUGAUGUCAGAACUUACUGUCGACUAAUCUUGUGCAGUACCAUUUCCAGCAUCUUGUUCAGUACCUUGUUCAUCAUCAUCUAAAAAUUUCUGCACAUCUUCUUCAGUUAUGUUGUUGUCCUUUUCUUGAUUUUCAUGAGUCGAAUCAGAUUCAUCUUUUUUUUUGGAUCAUCAUGUUCACUAAUGUUUGCAUUCCUUUUAUCCAGGUUCCAAGAAUGGUCAAAGUCAAGGUUAUGUGCUUCGUCUUCUUGAUCCUCUUCUUCAGCAACCUAACAGGAAAACAUUCUCAAAUUUUUCCCGAUCAGAUCGACUACAAUAUAAAUCCACUACAAUAUACGACGCGUUGUCUCCAUCUGGGUGACACUCCAGCUGAUGCAGAGAUCGUGCAUGAACCGCACUGGCUGCAAAUCCUCAAGAUAAAUCUCUAUGUAUUCCUCGCCAACGGGAUCCAUUUUCGAUCUACAGCUGCAGUUACUCUUUCUACGUCUGUCAGUUUUCAGGUGUACCUAUUUUUCUUAAUUUCUCUUGGUUAUACUGCUGUCAUGUGUAUUCAUUCAUUUUAUUUACUAUAAAUAUUAAGGAUUGUGACUUAGUAAAGAGUGUUUUUGGGUGAUCAGUCUUACCUGAUAACGAUGUACCAUUUCCCAAUCUGGAUGUUCCUAAAGCUAUUGUAGAUUCUACUCUUUAGUUUGGUCCCAAGGCUAUGGUAGUAAUUUUACAUGUUCUUUUGUGUAAGACUUGGAUUAGAGUGUGCAUUUAUCAUGUAGAUUCAGUAAUUAGCUGGAGUGGUCCGAAAGCUAAUGUAGAUCCAGCUAUUCAGUUUUGUUCCAAGGUAGUAAUUUUACAUGUUCUGGUGUAAAGCUUGGAUAAGAGUUUGUAUCAAAAUUAGCUGGAUGUUCCCAAAGCUAUUCUUGUAGUUUCACUAAUUCAGUUUCGUUCCGAGGAAGUAAUUUUUGAAAAUGGCUUGGAUAAGAGUUUGCAUCAAAAUUAGUGUUAGUUUCAACACCUAUAGACAUCAACACGAUAAAACUGCUGCUAGCUACAUCUUUUCAAAGUUUUGGUAGAGAAUUAUUUUGUGUUUUUCAGUAGCAGAUUUGAUCGGGACCAUUUACCUGAGGAUGCGAAGCGUCUUCACGUGGAAGUAUGGUUUCUUGGAGAAAUUCUUUUCCUUUCUCCGGUGAUUGCUCUUCUCUCCCGUCCAUUGUGUUUUGGGUGGCAGGUUUCUCUCGAGACGAAUGGCUGGAAGGAGUGGUUGGGGUGGUUGCAGCAAGUGAGGUGCUUUGCUUGGUGAAGAAGGUCGAACAGCUGCCUUUUCUGGGCCUUGUAAUGCGAGAAAGACUAGAGGGCUGAUUCGUAGGGUGUUAAAACAGAUGGUGAAAUCGUGACUCAAAAGCCUUUCACAAACUGAAAUGUGUCUGUUUCUGUGUACUGAAAACAGACACCUUUUUCCUUAGUUUACUGAAACAGACAGCUGGCUUCGUUUGAUUGGUCCAAGAAAAGUGUCUGUUUAUGAAUUGAAAAACAGGCAGCUGCUCUUUAGUCAC